rnacentral:rRNA from 1 species
CCUGGUUGAUCCUGCCAGUAGCAUAUGCUUGUCUCAAAGAUUAAGCCAUGCAUGUCUAAGUACAAGCCGCUAGACGGCGAAACCGCGAAUGGCUCAAUAAAUCAGUUAUGGUUCCUUAGAUCCACUCCAUCCUACUUGGAUAACUGUGGUAAUUCUAGAGCUAAUACAUGCACUCGAGCCUCGACUGCGGGCUUUCGGGCUCGCAGAAGAGGUGCUUUUAUUAGAUCAAAACCAGUCGGGGCCGGGCUUUCGGGCUCGCGCACCGUACCAAUUUUGGUGACUCUGGAUAACUUCACGCCGAUCGCACGGCCUUCGCGCCGGCGACGUAUCUUUCAAAUGUCUGCCUUAUCAACUGUCGAUGGUAGGUUACGCGCCUACCAUGGUUGCAACGGGUAACGGGGAAUCGGGGUUCGAUUCCGGAGAGGGAGCCUGAGAAACGGCUACCACAUCCAAGGAAGGCAGCAGGCGCGCAAAUUACCCACUCCCGGCACGGGGAGGUAGUGACGAAAAAUAACGAUACGGGACUCUUCCGAGGCCCCGUGAUUGGAAUGAGUACACUUUAAAUCCUUUAACGAGGAACCAUUGGAGGGCAAGUCUGGUGCCAGCAGCCGCGGUAACUCCAGCUCCAAUAGCGUAUAUUAAAGUUGUUGCGGUUAAAAGCUCGUAGUCGGAUGUCUGUCUUCGGCCGGGCGGCGCCGCUCUGAAUCAAGGGUGUUGCGUUUCACGCUCUGGGAGCCCGGGUGUCAAAGCCCGACUCUCUUCACGGUCGGACAACAUCGCCGGAGUGGUGGUCGGUGCGUCGUUGUUGUAUCUGCGGCCAGAGUUGGAAAGUUCUUUCGGGUUCUUUUUUAAUUUUGGUCGUAGUUGACUCGAUUCGCUCCACCCAGUCAAUCGUUCGGGGUGCCCUUCACCGGGUGUCUCGGGCGGCCGGCAACGUUUACUUUGAACAAAUUAGAGUGCUCAAAGCAGGUGUAUCCCAACGCCUGAAUAUCGCAGCAUGGAAUGAUGGAAUAGGACCUCGGUCCGAUUUUGCUGGUCUUUUACUUUUGGACCCGAGGUAAUGGUCAAUAGAGACGGACGGGGGCAUUCGUACUGCGGCGACAGAGGUGAAAUUCUUGGACCGCCGCAAGACGAACAACAGCGAAGGCAUUUGCCAAGAAUGUUUUCCUUGAUCAAGAACGAAAGUUAGAGGUUCGAAGGCGAUCAGAUACCGCCCUAGUUCUAACCAUAAACGAUGCCAACCAGCAAUCCGUCGGAGUUACUCCAAUGACUCGACGGGCAGCUUCCGGGAAACCAAAGUCUUUGGGUUCCGGGGGAAGUAUGGUUGCAAAGCUGAAACUUAAAGGAAUUGACGGAAGGGCACCACCAGGAGUGGAGCCUGCGGCUUAAUUUGACUCAACACGGGAAACCUCACCAGGCCCGGACACUGGAAGGAUUGACAGAUUGAGAGCUCUUUCUUGAUUCGGUGGGUGGUGGUGCAUGGC